CCCGGCCCCUUCCUCCUGCUCCUCCCGCCCCAGCCGCGCUUCGGGAGGAAGAGGAAACACCCUGCCGGGGCGGCGGCCCUCCCGCGCGGGCUGCCGGGCCGAGCUCCGGGGGAGGAGGCGGGCCAAGGCCUGCGGAGUACUCCUUCCAGAAGUGUCCUCCGGUCAGGCUCGAGCUCAGUGAGGAGGAGAAGGAAGAGGAGGAGGCCCCACGUGCCGUGUGUCAUCGCGCUCCAGACAAGUGUCUCGUUCUCUACUUGCCAUGAGAACUUUUUGUCCCAUCAUGGAUUGCUUCCUUCCCUGUCAUGAAAGCUGGCUAGUCUUGAGAUGAGUGAAAAACCUGCAGUGUGGCUGUAUACCUUCCCUGGUACAGAUGUACAGGGUACAUAAAUCAAGCGUCUUGAUUCUG